GUCAAAAGAUAAGUGGCCCAUGAAGCAAAUGCAGAGAAGAUUGGUGCAGUGAAAACACAAACAGUCUCAACAGACAAAGGAAUAUUCAAAGAAUUCAAUAUCCACCAUAUUGUGCCUGCCGUCAAGGUUAAACCAGGGUAAACAGUUCCACCAAUCACUCUACCAAGAGGGUACCAGGUUCGGUCAUCAAACCAAUUCCAAAAGUCAUA
rnacentral:misc_RNA from 1 species